GUGAGGAAUAUUGGUCAAUGGGCGGGAGCCUGAACCAGCCAAGUCGCGUGAAGGAAGAAGGAUCUAUGGUUCGUAAACUUCUUUUGCAGGGGAAUAAAGUGCAGGACGUGUCCUGUUUUGUAUGUACCCUGAGAAUAAGGAUCGGCUAACUCCGUGCCAGCAGCCGCGGUAAUACGGAGGGUGCGAGCGUUGUCCGGAUUCAUUGGGUUUAAAGGGUGCGUAGGCGGACUAUUAAGUCAGUGGUGAAAUCCUGCAGCUUAACUGCAGAACUGCCAUUGAUACUGAUAGCCUUGAGUUUGGUUAAGGUAGGCGGAAUGUGUAAUGUAGCGGUGAAAUGCUUAGAUAUUACACAGAACACCAAUUGCGUAGGCAGCUUACUGAGCCGACACUGACGCUGAGGCACGAAAGCGUGGGGAUCGAACAGGAUUAGAAACCCCAGUAGUCC
rnacentral:rRNA from 1 species